ACCCACGUGCCCUUAUUUCAGUGUGCAGAAGUCGCCCACUGACCUCCGCUCUUGAAAAGAAGGUGCCGAGGGGGAAUUCAGUGAGCUAAGCUACUUGGUUGAGCAUUCAACUUAAUAGAAGCCAGGAAACUCCGCUGCACCAGGCGUCAGCCUCGAUUCAUGCGUAUUGGUGGGAUCUGGCUGCUCCCCGCCAAGGGGGUGAAAUGCUGGUUUGACUUUGCUCGCUAAAGCGGUGCUGGCAAGCAGCCGAAGUGCCCGGCUUGCUUUACCUAGAAUAACGAACCCAGUAAGGCUGCUUAGACAACCAACCACUCUGUCCCAACCUGCAGUAGCUGUGCUCCCCGUGGGAAGCCCGAAUGUAAGCAGCCGCUGGAGAACAAGCGCCUGAACCAACCCUGUUCUACAGCCCGACUGCAGCUCUCCAUCGGUCACAACCAAGAAACAAGGGAGUACCAGAACCUAAGACAGGAAGCGCCAAUGUGGUAGGGGUGAAGAGAAAAAACACACCCCAUGCAAACAAAGAAGAGGGGAGGAACAAAGUAGAAAAGAGCAUGGACCAGAACUGCAGGAAGCAUGGGGGAGAAGAGGAAAAAGGACCAGAUACAGGAUGAUGAAUAAAAUCAGUAAUCCCAUGAGAUAAGAAAUUUAC
rnacentral:lncRNA from 1 species